AAAUUCCCAUUGGCUAUGUAUUUUACAUAUUCCCAUUGGCUAUGUAUUUUACAUACGGUGCUGUCUAGGUUGGUCAUAGCUUUUCUUCCAAGGAGCAAUUGUCUUUUGAUUUCAUGGCUACAGUCACCAUCUGCUGAGAAAAUAAAAUCAGUCUCUGUCUCCACUGUUUCUCCAUCUGUUUGCCAUGGAGCGAGUCACAGCCACAGGACCGUGGUGGCUUCAUGAUGAGGGUGAGAGCAGAGCUGGGCCUGCUGGCCUGGGGUGUAAGACACAGCAGCCGAACCACAGGAGGCGCAGUCAGCUACACCCAGGAGUGAGCUGGGGACAUGUAGGACGCCUUACACACCUGCUCAGCUCCAGCAGAAUAACCACUGCUGUGCUGCUUCUGACCGCUGGGUCCCCAGUCCUCCCUCGCACUUGAAUGUGAUGGAAAGGAAUACUGUUAAGCCCUCAGAUGCUGCUGGUUGAGCUACCACUCAGGAAGGACUGAUGCCUCCUUUUUCACAAAGUUAUUCAGGACAUGUUUUCUUCUAGAAAUGAACAUUUUGCUUCCUUCCCAAACUGCAAUACUGCACUUCAGAACUCACAGGAAUACUUGAUGUAUAGAAGACUAACUGUAUUUCAGAGUAAAAAUAUAAAAGAAAAAUUAUUCUAAAAAUCUGUUCAAGACAACACUGUAUGUGUGUGUGUGUGUGAACACUCAGUUGUGUUUGACACUUUGGAACCCCAUGGGCUGUAGCCCACCAGGUUUCUCUGUCCAUGGGGAUUCUGCAGGCAAGAAUACUGGAGUGGGUUGCCAUUUCCUUCUCUAAGGAAUCUUCCCGACCCAGGGAUUGAACCCACAUCUCCUACAUUGGCAGGCAGGUUCUUUACUGCGGAGCCACCUGGGAAGCCCUCAAGAUUGUAUAAUG
rnacentral:lncRNA from 1 species